GAAUCAGACGGAAAAUGCAUGACAAUAAUGGGAGACGAGGAUAAAAUUGUGGAAAAAUGCGUGAGUUAAUUUACUGAUGAAGCCUUCUUUAUUUGAAGAGCAAAUAAGGAAACUGCUAAUUUUCCUCAAAAUGAUGCGUAUUUUUUAUAUUUAAAAGGAAGCAUCAACAACAACAAUUGAUAUGAUUCAGAACAGCCUAGCCAGGACGUUAGAUUAUCAACUUGUAUAAAAAGUACUACUGUGGUGCCACCUACGACAUAACAAAAAUGCUAUCUACAAAAUCGAUGUUGACCAUACUUGUGGUUUUGGCAUUAUUUUAUAAUGCGAUGGCUUGUGACGGAUUUGAUCGUCCAUGUACUGGACCUAAUGGUCAACAAGGCAGUUGUUGUAAGGGAAUGCAUUGUCAGAAGAAUAACCCCUCUUGGGCAAAAGGACGCUGUUACUAUAACCCUGGAAAGUAACUGCUAAAUAUGCACUACUAACACAUACUAAAAUGAUUAAUAAAUCAUUGAAGAAAAUGAAAAAUUACUAAAUAAAG